rnacentral:rRNA from 1 species
GGAUCGGUAUGUUGGUCGUGCUUCGGUACGUACUGUCAUUACCGGUUUCUACCUUCUGAAGAACCGCGAUGUCAUUAAUUUGGUGUCGUGGGGAAUCAGGACUGUUACUUUGAAAAAAUUAGAGUGUUUAAAGCAGGCCGAUGCGCUUGAAUACAUUAGCAUGGAAUAAUAAAAUAGGAC